UUUUAUUUUUCAGAAAAGGGCGUGUUUACAUUGCUGCCUAGUAACUCCUAGUGACAGUGACUCAGGCGGCUACUAGAGGGUCCUAUGUUCAGUGUCUCAAGCGUCUUAUUAGGCCCUGCGAUUUCGUCAUUUUGAUGGAAAAGGGGGCGUGGCUUGGUUUUAUAUGUUGACUAUAGUGAUCCUUUAAAGGUGACCUGUCAUGCCCCAAACAAUUUAUGCCCAUUAGUUUGUGUGUAAGAUUCUUAUUAUAUAUUUUGCUAGCAAAUGUAUAGAUUAGAAGGAAAAACCUUUUUAAAAAUAGGUUUUGCUCCCACCUGUCAGGAAAUGCCAAGGCGUUCCGAGGCAUUCACUGGCAAGGGAGACCAGAAAAAGGAGGUCCCUAUGCUCUACACCUAUAGCAACUCAGGCUGGAUAUGUAGUAUAGGAAUGGAGUGAUGUCACUCCGUUUCAACACCAGUACACUGGAAACAAAGCCAGCGUGGCUACAUCGCUGAGGAGAAUUAUCCUGCUUGGGGAUGUGUCCAAUGCAGGACAAAUCAAAGAAGACUGCUGGAGGAGUGAAGGACGACCCUGAAGUAGGUGUUAUACAAUAAGUAACAUCCAUGAAGCAGCGAUGGAACGGAG